rnacentral:rRNA from 1 species
GUCUACAGCCAUGCCACCCUGAACGUGCCUGAUCUCAUCUGAUCUCAGAAGCUAAGCAGGCUUGGGCCUGGUUAGUACUUGGAUAGGAUACCACCUGGGAAUACCAGUGCUGUAGGCA